UAGCCACAUCCGUCAGGUCAGUCCGGGCGCCCCCUGGAGUCACGCCUUCAUGGCGCUCAAUAUAGAUCCCUGCCAACCUGCCACCCCCUCAUUUCCUUCUUACCGUCAGUGAUGGUAGGCUGAAACUUCCUGUAGCUCUUGCUUUAGCAAGCAUGUUCAACUCCAGUUGUUUGUAUAUAGUUAGUUUAUCUUAGUAGUUAGUAGUUACUAGUCAGUAGUUAGUGAUUAGAGUUGUUUGGGGCCUUUACCCCCCUUCCGGCUCCCUGGAGCCAUGGUCUGCCAUGGUCCCCAGGGUUUAAAAACUGUGUGGUCUGCACAGAGCGCGUGCCAAAGAGCGAUCCACACUCCUCAUAUUUACGGUGCCUAUGGGAGGGUCACCAAAAGGAUCGCUGUAACAUCUGCUGCGAGUUCUGCCCUAGAAAGGGAGCAGCGGCUUAAAAUGAUCCUCAUGGAGGCAGCUCUACGUCCCCAUUCGGACCCGGCUCCUAACACUUCCUCGUCUACAUGGAGCACCCUGGCGUCAACAUCAAGUUCAGUGCCGAGAAAGGACUCAUCCCGGGACUCUUGGCACGACACCUCCUGAGGCCCAGCAGAGAGCAGGCACUGGUCUCACUUGUCGGUGCCUCAGAAGAAAAAGAAGCCAGAUAGUCAGUCACCUCUGGCUAAAUCUUAGGAAGCGAGACCCCAGGCGGGCCACAGCUCGGAACCCUCCAUUAGGGCCUCAUCGACUCCUGCCCAGACGAGGCAGUUGAGUCGGAGCCCCCCACAUUCACUGGUUCACUGGAAGCUUUCGAAGCUGCUCGGGAUCUGCUGCACCUUACAGCGCCGUUCUCGCACCCUAGGAGGGAGGAACCUCCGGCACUGGCGAUCCCACCCACCCCCAGGUGCAGUCAGGAGGGAAGCCAGCAGUGAUGUCCAGGCAUUCCCUCGCGCCAUGUCCUUCAGCACUGGCCCACUCAGACAGAGAGCCUAGUCGCUCCCCAAGCUCUCGACGCUUGAGGCACCGAAGCUCGGCUCUUCCGUGGUCUUCGGUUUCAGAGACCUCGGAGUCAGAGUCUGACUCCUACCGCUAUAUAUUGGAGGAGCCAACGAUCAAGGUGAAGGCGAGACACGCGAGAGCCCCAGCUAUGGCCACCACAGUGGCUAUUCUAGACCCCCUGGACCUUUCACCGAAGCCAGGGAGGGAUCCAAGGGCACUACUCCUCAGCGUCUUCGGUGGCCUCAGUCACAUUUGUCCCGCUGUCAACCAUGCAGCUCACCUUGGCGCUUGCCCACACGCCAAUGCCAUCGGCUGUGGCAUAAUCGCUUGCACCAGCCUCAGCCACGGCGACUCUUUCAACCUCGGUGGCGACAGCAACCUCAGCACCACCUGCUGCGCCAGCGCCAACAGCAUUUUUGGCACCGAUGAUGACUUCGGCACCAACAGCGGCACAGACAAUGGCUCCACCACCUUCAUCGGCUCAGGCAGCUGGUUCAGCACUGGCUCCACCGGUGGUACCAUCAGUGCCCAUACCAACGCCAAGUUCAGUGUUGACAGCCCCAGUGCCGACAUUCCACUGAGAGUCUCAGGGCCCCUUUGGAGUUGAUGACAGGGAGCAUCUGCUGUUUAUAGGGGCUUCCUCCUAGUCGUCUCCGGACGAGGCAUUGGCAGGCACAGCCAUAGCCCUGGUGCUUGAGCACAGCAGGGUGCUACAACAGUUGCUGCAAAGGGCUCAGGGUCUGGGCAUUAAAGCUGAGGUGGUGGUCGAGGAGGCUGAUCCCAUGGUGGAUAUCCUCGCCCCCUCAGGACCUUCUCGUGUUGCCCUAACACUUAUUAAGACUAUUGUGGAUACCACCAAGACCCUGUGGCAGACCCAGGUUCCUUGCCACCCACUGCCAAGCACAACGAGAGGCGUUAUUUCAUACCCUCCAAGGAGUAUGAACAUUUGUACUCCCACCCACCUCCCGACUCUCUUGUCAUGGAGGCUGCUAAUCAGCGUGAGCCGCAGAGUUUCCAGGGGCCCUACCCUAGAAACAGGGAGGCUAAAUGACUCGACCUUGUUGGGAGAAAGGUCUACUCUACAGGGGGUCUUCAGCUCCAUAUUUCGAACCAGCAGGCCAUCAUCAGCAGGUGCUCUUAUAAUACCUGUGCAGCAAUGGCCAAAUUUGCAGAGCUCCUCCCUUCAGACUCCUGACCCGAAUUCUUGGCCUUGGUGGAGGAGGGAAAGCUCUUCUCUCAGGCUUCCCUCCAGGCCGCUUUGGACGGUGCUGAUGCCGCCUCUAGGGUCAUGGUUACUGGGGUGCCAGAAAAGGGGUUCCUGACUCCAAGUCUCGGGGCUCCCUUAUGAGGUCCAACAGACCAUUCAGGACUUCCCAUUUGAGGGUGUGACUCUUUUUUUUCUCUGAUAAGACAGACAAGAGGCUGCAUAGCCUGAAAGACUCACGAGCCACCCUCAGGUCUUUGGGCCUACACACUCCUGCCACACAGUGAAAACACUUUAGGCCGCAACCUCCUCAGAGGUUCUGUCAGCAGAACCUGCCAGGAUGGUUCUCUGAGGAGGAGCAGGAAAAGACAACACCCAUCCUCAGGCCAGGGCUCUGGCCAUUCCAAACCACCUUCCGGCCCCAAACCAGCCUUUUGAAGCUGUGGUCGAGGACGGCGCACCAGAACAAAAAAACUGGAUCUACCUCACCUUACCUUUUCCUCCCGACUGUCCCCUUUCUACUGUGUAUGGUCCCGUAUCACUUUGGACCACUGGGUGCACCUCACAGUAGAGAGGGGAUACUCCAUCCAAUUCUGUGCCCUUCCACCCUCCCUCUUCAGGGACCCUUCUCAUGAGCAGCUCCUUAUUGAGGAGGUGCAGUAGCUCUUAUCUCUAGGGGCAGUGGAGGAGGUUCCUCAGGAGCACUGGGACGAGGGCUUUUAUUCCCGGUAUUUCCUAAUGCCGAAAGCCAAAAGCGGCCUCAGGCCUAUCUUGGACCUGUGAGAACUCAACAAGUUCAUGAAGAAACUCAGGUUCUGCAUGGUCGCCUUGGCCUCCAUCAUCCCCUCACUGGAUCCAGCAGAUUACUAUGCCGCCCACAACUUGAAGGACACAUAUUUUCAUAUAGCAAUCACUCAGCCCCACAGGAAGUACCUCAGGUUUGUGGUCACCAGUACCCACUACCAAUUUACUGUCCUUCCGUUCAGCCUGCCAGCAGCACCCUGAGUCUUUACCAAAUGCAUGGCAGUCGUUGCCGCAAUAACAUGUCCAUUCCAAUACCCACCCUUCUUCACCUCUGUCGAAGUAGCAGGCAAGAAGGAACUGAGGCAGUGAUGGGUUGGCAGGGCUCUAUAUUGAGCGCCAUGAAUGCGCGACUCCAGGGGCGCCCUGACCGACCCGACAGAUGCGGUUAUCGGGAAAAUCUUCCGGCUACCAUGCACAUGCACGCACACCUGAUUGGAGUGGACAUGAACAACACAUCUCGAAGAAUAACAGUUACGACAAUCAAUCACAGCUUGUACGCCAGUGAUAAUCUUGCCUCCCACUAAACAAGAACAGCAGCAGAGGCAGAUAUUGACUCCCUCCUUCACUUCAAGGAAAACUUGGAU